AACCCAUGCUGAGGGCAUUUCCGCAAGAGAUCCUUGAACCUGUCCCAUGUCUCAAAAAGAAACUUCAAUUCCGUUUGUACAAAAGAAGAUAUCUCAUUCCUAAGGUU